AUAAAGUGCCUGAUUAAAGGAUUAUUUUGAUAGAAUAAAUGAAAUAAUUUUAUAUUAUCUUUAU
rnacentral:tRNA from 1 species